rnacentral:lncRNA from 1 species
GAUUACUGAGGAUCGACAUAGGGUCGUUCGUGGAUUCUAUAACAGUAAACGGAAUCACCCGUCGUUCCAUUAUGUUCUGUCCGCGAAUCGACUUUUAGUCGUCCUUAGAAUCAGCCUACCUAUCUACAGGAUCGUCCUCACGUAAAUCUCACGGUCAAGUCGUUUUCCCAGGUCGAGUCCUUUAGUCGUACGAGUUCUGUCCUCAUUAGCCUUUCCCCUCAAGGUCAGUAUCUCAGGAGUGAUUAAUUCCGAGUGAGAUCAACCAACAAUGCAUUGACGAAAUUCACAUCCAUUCAUUCCUCAGAGGACUCGAAUUUCAGGAUGUCAC